UACGAAGGGGGGCUAGCGUUGCUCGGAAUCACUGGGCGUAAAGCGCACGUAGGCGGCUUUUUAAGUCAGGGGUGAAAUCCUGGAGCUCAACUCCAGAACUGCCUUUGGUACUGAAGAUCUUGAGUUCGGGAGAGGUGAGUGGAACUGCGAGUGUAGAGGUGAAAUUCGUAGAUAUUCGCAAGAACACCAGUGGCGAAGGCGGCUCACUGGCCCGAUACUGACGCUGAUGCACGAAAGCGUGGGGGAGCGAACAGG
rnacentral:rRNA from 1 species